GAGAGGGAGAGAGGGAGGUGGGGGUGAGCCGGACUGCAGUGAUUAUUCCUACUGUAUGGCCAGCGCUCUCUCUCUCUCUCUCUCUCUCUUGCUUUUGCUCUCUCUUUUCUGCAGCAAUAACCCCUUUUCUCAAAGCACUGCGGGACAUAAGCAAAAGACCAGCAACGUGUGGCAUGUACCAGUCUUUAUUGCCGGGGCUCAAGGAUGACGCUAUGUCUCAGGUACACUUCGAAAGAAAAAGAGAACGAUGGACUCCCCAGAGCACGCUCAGUCUUCUCCCAGGACUAAUUCAAGAAGAUGCAGCUUUUGACAGUCAAAGCCUGGAUCAGCCUGGAUCUCAAGGAGAACUUUCUCUCCUAUAAUCUCCCGGGGCUUUUAGGAUCUACAAGUGAGACCCUAAUCAAAGUUCCUUCCUUUAGCAAGGGCGGCCAUAUUGCUUCGUUUACAACCACUGCACCUCCCAUCACUUCCAGCCGAAAUCGUGUCACUUUUUAUAAGACCGUCUUUCGCCAUAUGAACCUCCCUGGACUCUGAGAUCAACCUCUGAGGCCCUUCUUCCUGUGCCUCCUCCAUGAGAGGUCCAGAAGGUGGCAACACAAGAACGGGGCCUUCUCUGCAGUGGCUCCCCAUUUGAGAAUGCUCUCGCCAGGGAGGCUCACCUGGCCUCUUCAUUGUACACCUUUAGGUGCCAGGCAAAAACCAGGCUUUGGGUUGAUUGACAUCUGAUGCCCUUUUCUAUGUGUUGUGGGAGGGCGAAUUAUUGUUUUGUUGUUGUUCGUAUUUUUAUAUUGUAAUUUUAUUUUGCGGACCACCCUGAGGUCUACAGAGGAGGUGUGCAAAUAUUAGUAUUAUACCAUAAAGUAGGGUUACCAAAUCUGGGUUUUCCCAGGGAAUUGUUCAGCAAAAUGGCAUCGGGGCAGAUUUUUGCUGAAUCCACAAAAUGUCUGGGGAAAUCUGGACGUAUGGCAAGGUGGGCUCAACCACUUUGUCCAGAUUUUCACUUUGGGGGAUAUGGCAACCCUGCCACAAAUGCUCCAGUUUAUUUCUUAGUCACACUUUUGAUGUGCUAAAGUGCAAGAGUGCCUCUCCAGACAGCAAUAAUGCAGUAACAUUGGGGAAGGAUGGCAAAAGAAGUAAUAAGGCAGAAUGAUAUGGUGAUGGUCCAGUAUAAGUACAGCACGGAUGCACCAUUAUUGUGUCAAAGAAAUACUGCAGAAUUUACCAGCCUGGAGGGGUGCUUUAAAUAUAUGGCAUCUUACUUCUCAUGAAAGGUCCCUUACCUUUCCCGCCCCGACCUGGCCACAGUGAUCCAUGCGACGGUCACCUCCAGGCUUGACUACUGUAAUUCGCUCUACGCGGGGCUGCCCUUGAAGCUGUCCCAGAAACUCCAGCGGGUGCAGAAUGCUGCAGCGAGGCUCCUCACGGGGUCUCUGCCAUGGGAGCAUAUUCACCCAGUGCUUUUUCAGCUGCACUGGCU